rnacentral:tRNA from 4 species
GCCGGUGUAGCUCAAUUGGCAGAGCAGCUGAUUUGUAAUCAGCCGGUUGCUGGUUCAAUUCCGGUCACCGGCUCCA